UCUGGAUUUUAGUCCAUACAAAGCAGACGAAGAGUGGAAGGAUGGCGUCUCUGCAGAUACAAUAGAAGUUCGAGGUAGUUUCCAACGUCUCUUCACUCAGCAUCAAACAAAGAAAAAGAAGAGAAAAAAGAAGAGACCGAGAACCAAGUGUGAUCAGAGGAAGAGAACUUCCUCACACUUAGAUCAUGGCGCUUCUCGUCACAUAUCACCACAUGUCACCGAGGAGACAACACUCAGCUCUUUGGAACAGACCAGACCACAGGAGACAAAAGCCUGAAACACAGAACACUGCCUCUGUUGCAGAGUCAGAGUCUGGUGAGACUGAAGUAGUUGCCAGACGGACAGAAAGUUAAACAGCUGGGUUUUUCUUUUCACCAUGAUCGCAGAUCCUUUUUUAAAACAAGUGUUUUUGCACUUGUAUUUAAUGUUUAAAAUGAAAUGAAAUCAAGUCAAAUUAUGAAAAAAAUACAAGGAAUUGUAGGAAUUGUUUUUAUUUUUUUUUCAAUAAAAGCCCUGAGGUCUUUCCAAUUUUUCCACUCUUGUCACAGUGAUUUCUUCUGAUGUCCAAUCAUGUGGUAAGGAAACACAUCUUUUAAAUUUAAGAAUAAUUGUAUUUAUUUUAUUUACAUUGCAGCACAGCAGGGUCCAGUCUUUUGUAAUCAAGCAACUGACUUGCUCUCUGAAGAAAUACUUUAAGCUGUAGCUUUCAUCAUGUUUCUCCAUUGUACCGAGUGGAGGACACCACUAGUUUAUAUACUGUAUAUUGAACUGAUAUGUCCACACAUGAUAAUUAGGGUCAUUAUAUUAGCACAGGACAAAAUAAUUUCAACAAUAAUAUUAUAACUUCAAGGGCAACUUGAGCAGCUAAAGUUACAAAGAGCUUGUGGUUAUGUUCGUUCAUUUCGCUGUACAGUGUAAAUAGUACCAAUGACUAAUGGAGAGUGCAGUAAAGCUACAGGAGUAAUUGUUCUGAACAUCAGAUCGUCAGGUCAGAUCUAAUGAUUGGCAGGGUCUAAAAUAGGCAAACUAAGGCCCGGGGGGCCAGAUGCAGCCCGUUCAGCUUUUUAAUCCAGCCCACCAAACUUUUCCAAAUUAUAUAAUUUAUUUACACUAUAUUAC